GUCAGAGUUCAUCCCACACUACGUUAUCAACAAAGCUCGACGAAGCCAUGCUAGCGCAGUGGAACGACCUGCUAUUUGUAGCGAUUAUUAAGUGUUUACACUGCUUAAAGUCUUUUUAAGGCAAUAUGCCAGGUCCCACAGUUCAGUGCGGGACUGCCACAACGGUACCCGUGGGCUAAAGAAGUGGAUGGAAGAGUUUUGCCCUAUUCACGAGUGCAAUAAAGGAACCUCGCGCUGUAUAUGUGACCCGCCUUAUGUACUCGUCACAUUUCCUACUGAAAGAAAAGAUCCAGAAUGUCGUGCCGAAUGGAUUAAAUUAGUAAGUUUGACAUAAGAUCAUAUAUUAUUACCUUCUUUGUAGUCGUUAGCAAGUCUCGUUAGCAAGUUUUGCUCGUCCUUGCUAACCAGAUAAUUAUUGAUAUCUAUGUACAUAAGGAUAAGGAUGAACUUUAUUGAUCCCACAGUGGGGAAAGUUCACCAUUACAGCAGCUCCAAAGAAAAAGUAUAAAGGCAGUGCAGGAAUAGAUAAGAAAAAGAAACAGAGUGCAAAAAUUGCAGAAAAAAAACAUGCAGGGUGGCCAUUUAUUUGCUGCUGUCGACUCAUUCUCCCAACCUUCUCUGAGCUCUAAAGGAUCUGGAAUUCUCAGGUGACACCUGUCAACUUCGAUCUCGAGCAGGGAUUUAUAAUCAAGGUUGACAGCCUCCCUUUCCUGCUGUUUUGUUAAAACUAUUGGGGCCUUUUGAAAAGACAAUGCCCAAGCAAGGGACACGAGUUUUUUCUUUCGCUUCCCGAUAACACUGUAUCCUCGUUUCUUACAAAAUUCCUGUAAAGCAUCGACUUUACAACGCUCAAAGUAAUCAAUAUCUGCGUUGCACUUGGCCAUGUUUAUGAUCUGGGAUGUCCCGACCUUUGAUCCGGACCACCAUACCUCGCUCACGGCGAGAUUCCGAAUUGGCUUAUUUAAUAAGGUCCUCGCCACUGUUCCCUCUAAGCUGCGUGCGUGUGCAAUUGCGCACUGCUGACACGGUCUCCGCGCACAGAAAAUCUGCACUGCCACAAAAAAAAAAAUCCGACCUAAAUUGUAAAUAAAAUAAACACGUAACAAUUCAUUCUGUGCUAUUUUUCAGUGUGAGUCAGUGAGUGACCAGUGACUGGCUGCUGCAGUCAAUGAUGCGAUUCACAUACAUAUUUACCAUAGACUGUAUAUAAUGGUAUUUACGCAGCUAAUCAUCGUCAGGCGUCCUUAUGUGCAGCCAUCGUUGUUCUCAUAGAUAUGAAUGAGUAGAUAGGACACGCCCCUUUGAGCUGAGUGCUACGGCGAGGCUAAGCUAGUGGGGACAAAGUUUCAGUGCAUUCCGUUGAUGUAGAUGGCGUGAAAACAGAAACAAGAAGUAUACCGGCUCACUGGGCUGCAUACACAAUUACACACUGCGUCGUACGAUUGAGACAAGGAAACUUGGAAUGACUUUUCAUAGGUUUCCCAGAGACUAUGGGUUGAGGAGGAAUUGGAAGUUUGUCGGCUUAGACCUGUGUCAUUCCAUCAGUGUUAAACUUCCCGGCUCAUCUUUGAAGAGUACGUGCCAGAAAGACCACGACCAAGCAGCCUUGAGAUCUUAGGCAGCGUCUCCCUGAGACCAAAGAACUACAGACUCUUCACAACCUGCUCAAACUCUUGGUACAGGACCUCACCACACGGGUCAAGAAGGUUGCUUUGUAGAACUGUUGCAGAAAACCUCACUAAACCACAUGGAGGGGCCUCAAGAUAGUCGUCCAAAUGAAACCAUACAAAAACCAAACUAGUACAACCCAAACGCUAAAGUCUCCUGCAGCCUACCAGAGAACCUCUGAGAACAGAGGAUCAGGACAGGAACUCUUACCUUCUGGACAACCACCGCUGGUUCACAAACAAGAAUACAGACUGUGUCUGACCAAAAACCUCUGAAGACUCACUACAGCCAAGAUAAAGACAACACAGCUGCACCAAAUCCGCUAAUCACUGCACACAUUAGCACCAUGUGCUAACUGUGGCUAAAGAACCUCAUUUACCAAGACAACGAUCCAGUACAAAGCCCUAAACCACACCAAGAAACACAGUAAAGACGAUUUUACUGCUGGAAGCUGCAAGCCAACGCCUAAAGAACAAACUAAAGCAAUGGAGCCAAACCCAGUUCACUGGUGAAGAGAAUCAGAGGAAAGGUUUGUCUACAGCUAAAUAAAGCAGGAAGACACUGAGCUGCUCAGGUGUUCCUGAUAAAACCAAGCAGCCACCUGGACAGCCAAUAGGAACACAGCUUCCUGGAAGUCCAGAGGGCUGGGUUAGUGAAGGAAAUUUAAUUUGAAGUUGAAGCAGAAAGUUAACAAAGAAAGUUGAAAACCACCUUCUGAUCCCUGAAAUCUCUGAGUUUUCACACAAAGAACACCUGAACAUGUCAAACUGGUUCCAUAGUAGAACCAUCAUUGUAAAAACGUCAUAGUAUGGUGUGUUGCUCAAAAAACAUUAGGACCCGGCUGUCAGGGGACAAACAUGUAAGAAACAUGAGAACAGAGAGAACCCAACCAGUAGGUCACAGUUUAUCAUCCCCCAGUCAUCUCCUGAAGUCCAUAUGGUGAGAGACAUCAGUAUCUGGUUGUUAAUUUACCAGAGGAUGCUUAUAAUCAUGAUGAUGUGGUCUGUACUCUACAGUAUUUUAGUGACUCAAUACAUGCCUAAGUUGUUUUUUUUAAAAUGCUUUUUAGUUUUUAAUAAACAUUUAAUAGCCUAUAUGUAAUCAAUAAAUGGCCUUUGCCUAUCUUAAGAAAAACUCACUCAGAAAUCUGAUAUGUUAACAGUACUAAAUAAAUCAAUAAAUACAUGCAUACACACAAAAAUAAGUUAAUACAUUAACUGUGUUAAGAUAAGAUUUAGAUUUUUUUAAAAAAGUUGUUUAUGUUUUUGCACAAUCCAGUAUUGCUCACUGGUUGGUCAUUACAUUUUGUUUAGUUUGAUUUCACUGUUUAAAAUGAUGCCACCUCUUUUCAGACAGAACCUGUGAUAAUAAAACAAUACAAAAUUUUUAGUUCCGUGUUAAUAAAGCACUUAAAGCUUUAAGUAUGGCUAAAUGCUUUUUUCAGAAUUAAAUAUAUCACUCCUUAGGUGGUAGUGGCCCCAAGUUCAGUAAAGUUGGAAAGAUAUUCACAGAUUCAGACUUCCAGCAUCAAUAACUCAUUAGAUAUAGGUUGUCAAAACAUAAACGGUGCCUCUUUCCCAUUGUUGCAAGGCAGACAAUGUGCUACAAGCCCAGUUUUAUCAAAAGUAGCUGUCUUUCAAGCUACAGGAAUAACAUUGGUGUCUAUGGAGUGAACAGGGUCCGUCUGCAAUUUGCAAAACCGCUGCAACAGUAAAGAGAGACAAAUAUUCAAUAACUUCACUCUUAUACAUUGUAGUGUCACUAAAAUCACUGCAGCCUUCAACUGGCUCCUGUUGACAAAGUGUUUUAACAGAAAUGUAAAUGCUGUAAUUUGAUUCUUUUAAUGAACCAUGUAACUUGAAUGGAUGUGAUGCUGGUGUGACCACAGUGCACACGUCUGAUGUUGCUCACAGUGGUCCAAGGGACGCUCAGGGAGUUUGUGUGUUUGCUCAGACUCAGGAAAAAUUACAGGGAACAUUGGUCCUCGCCUUACUAUGUGAAGUGUCUAGAGAUGAUACAUGUUGUGAAUUAGUGCUAUAUAAAUACAACUCAAUUGAAAUUAAAUUAAAGUGUAUCGUUUCUAUAUUUUAGAUUAUCCUUGAUGGCAUAAAAAAGGGUGGAAAAGGUACAUACUACAUACUAUUGUUUUAACCAGACGGAUGAACAAUUUGUUCUCACAGGCCAUCGCUCUAAUAAACAAUUAAAUCUAUAAUGACAGAAACAACUAUUUUUGUAUGAUUAACAACUCAUAACCACUGUAAAUACUGUAUAUUACAUAACUGUUAAUAUUUCAUUCUACAAACAUCGCUCUCUGCUCCAUUGCACUAUUGCAUUGAAAGUGUCAGUAAUCCUGCAUUUAUUGUUAACCUUAUCUAUUCCUAUCAUCAAAAUCUGCACAAUUUACACUAAAUGUUUGGUUCAGUGUAAACAUGUUCUUUUACACAUAUCUUUGGCUGUGAUAUUAAUCGAUAAACACUUACGUUCCUUUCUUUAAUCUGUGGGCCUGGUUUAAAUUCAUGUGUGCUUUUUGGUGUGAAUACUUUGACAGCAAAGAAAACAUUUUUUAUUCAUUGUACGUGUGCAUGUACUUGGCCAAUAAAGAACACCUG
ensembl:lncRNA